rnacentral:tRNA from 1 species
GGAGAAAUGCCAGAGUGGUUGAAUGGGGCAGUCUCGAAAACUGUUAUAUACUUCCUGUAUAUCGUGGGUUCGAAUCCCACUUUCUCCG